ACUCCAGUGGCCUAAUGAUUAGAGCGUCCGCCUCGGAUGCGGAAGGUCAAGGAAUCGAUCCUUGGUCGAGUC